ACGGAGGGAGCUAGCGUUGUUCGGAAUUACUGGGCGUAAAGCGCACGUAGGCGGCUUUUCAAGUCAGGGGUGAAAUCCCGGGGCUCAACCCCGGAACUGCCCUUGAAACUGGAUGGCUAGAAUACUGGAGAGGUGAGUGGAAUUCCGAGUGUAGAGGUGAAAUUCGUAGAUAUUCGGAAGAACACCAGUGGCGAAGGCGACUCACUGGACAGUUAUUGACGCUGAGGUGCGAAAGCGUGGGGAGCAAACAGG
rnacentral:rRNA from 1 species